rnacentral:rRNA from 1 species
AAAAUAGUGAUAUGGAGCAAAACCCUAAAAACGGUCUCAGUUCGGAUUGAAGGCUGAAAUUCGCCUUCAUGAAGCUGGAAUUGCUAGUAAUGGCAGGUCAGCAUACUGCCGUGAAUACGUUCCCGGGCCUUGUACACACCGCCCGUCACACCAUGAGAGUUGGGAAUACCCGAAGCCUGUGAGCUAACUGUAAGGAGGCAGCAGUCGAAGGUAGAAUCAAUGAUUGGGGUGAAGUCGUAACAAGGUAUC